rnacentral:piRNA from 1 species
UCACGUGUUCAGCUGUGUGUACUAGUGUA